rnacentral:rRNA from 1 species
AUUGAACGCUGGCGGCAGGCCUAACACAUGCAAGUCGAGCGAGCGGCGGACGGGUGAGUUAUGUCUGGGCAACUGCCUGAUGGAGGGGGAUCACUACUGGAAACGGUAGCUAAUACCGCCUACCAUCAGCUGUGCCCAGAUGGGAUUAGCUAGUAGGUGGGGUAAUGGCUCACCUAGGCGACGAUCCCUAGCUGGACGGAGAGGAUGACCAGCAACACUGGAACUGAGAAACGGUCCAGACUCCUACGGGAGGCAGCAGUGGGGAAUAUUGGACAAUGGGCGCAAGCCUGAUGCAGCCAUGCCGCGUGUGUGAAGAAGGCCUUCGGGUUGUAAAGCACUUUCAGCGGGGAGGCGUUACUCGCAGAAGAAGCACCGGCUAACUCCGUGCCAGCAGCCGCGGUAAUUC